rnacentral:lncRNA from 1 species
UUUAUUGAAGACUAUGUUAUUAAUAAUGAUCAAACAGGUUCCAAAAUCCAAUUUAGCUAUAAUAGAACUCAUGCUAAAAAAGGAAAAAACUUGUUUCUGUUAGAAGGCUAGAUAUUAAUAAAGUGACGCAUUAUUUUAUUUGGAAAAA